GAUGAACGCUGGCGGCGUGCCUAAUACAUGCAAGUCGAGCGAACGGACGAGAAGCUUGCUUCUCUGAUGUUAGCGGCGGACGGGUGAGUAACACGUGGAUAACCUACCUAUAAGACUGGGAUAACUUCGGGAAACCGGAGCUAAUACCGGAUGAUAUUUUGAACCGCAUGGUUCAAAAGUGAAAGACGGUCUUGCUGUCACUUAUAGAUGGAUCCGCGCUGCAUUAGCUAGUUGGUAAGGUAACGGCUUACCAAGGCAACGAUGCAUAGCCGACCUGAGAGGGUGAUCGGCCACACUGGACCUGAGACCCGGUCCAGACUCCUACGGGAGGCAGCAGUAGGGAAUCUCCCGCAAUGGGCGAAAGCCUGACGGAGCAACGCCGCGUGAGUGAUGAAGGUCUUCGGAUCGUAAAACUCUGUUAUUAGGGAAGAACAUAUGUGUAAGUAACUGUGCACAUCUUGACGGUACCUAAUCAGAAAGCCACGGCUAACUACGU
rnacentral:rRNA from 1 species